GUGUGAUGGCGUUUUCUUGAACGAGAUGAUGAUUUUGGCGAGAAAAAUAUUGCGUUCUAACCUUCAGGUUCCUAAAUAUGAAAAGUAAUGUUCUUUCAAGAAAGUCAACGAGGUCCCUUACUCCCUUGUUUGCUAACCCAAUGGCUGCUACCCUUGAAUCUCCCUAUUUAGCUCCUUACACAGUCCCUCUUGAUUUGAGGGUAAUCCUUCGCUACUGAU
rnacentral:lncRNA from 1 species